CCUACGGGUGGCAGCAGUGAGGAAUAUUGGUCAAUGGCCGGAAGGCUGAACCAGCCAUGCCGCGUGAAGGUCAGUGCCCUAUGGGCGUUAAACUUCUUUUGUGCGGGAGCAAUAAUGGUCACGUGUGGCCAGACGAGAGUACCGUACGAAUAAGCAUCGGCUAACUCCGUGCCAGCAGCCGCGGUAAUACGGGGGGUGCAAGCGUUAUCCGGAUUUAUUGGGUUUAAAGGGUGCGUAGGCUGUGAGGUAAGUCAGCGGUGAAAUGCCGCCGCUCAACGGGGUGAAGUGCCAUUGAUACUGGCUUGCUGGAAUGCGGAUGCGGUGGGAGGAAUGUGUGGUGUAGCGGUGAAAUGCAUAGAUAUCACACAGAACACCGAUUGCGAAGGCAGCUCACGAAGCCGCGAUUGACGCUGAUGCACGAAAGCGUGGGUAUCAAACAGGAUUAGAUACCCGAGUAGUC
rnacentral:rRNA from 1 species